AAUAGAUACCCAGGUAGUCCACACCGUAAACGAUGAGUGCUAAGUGUUGGGGGGGUUUCCGCCCCUCAGUGCUGCAGCUAACGCAUUAAGCACUCCGCCUGGGGAGUACGGUCGCAAGACUGAAACUCAAAGGAAUUGACGGGGGCCCGCACAAGCGGUGGAGCAUGUGGUUUAAUUCGAAGCAACGCGAAGAACCUUACCAGGUCUUGACAUCCCGGUGACCACUAUGGAGACAUAGUUUCCCCUUCGGGGGCAACGGUGACAGGUGGUGCAUGGUUGUCGUCAGCUCGUGUCGUGAGAUGUUGGGUUAAGUCCCGCAACGAGCGCAACCCUUAUUCUUAGUUGCCAUCAUUCAGUUGGGCACUCUAAGGAGACUGCCGGUGAUAAACCGGAGGAAGGUGGGGAUGACGUCAAAUCAUCAUGCCCCUUAUGACCUGGGCUACACACGUGCUACAAUGGACGGUCAAACGGUUGCAACCCGGCAGGGGGAGCUAAUCCGGAUAAAACCGGUUCUCAGUUCGGAUUGUAGGCUGCAACUCGCCUAC
rnacentral:rRNA from 1 species